UUUCACCUUUUUCGGGGCUUCGCCUGUGGAAAGCCGCGCUACCCUGGUACCGAGUGGUUUUCGAUGUAUUCUUCCACUCUAUUUUUGCGAAUAUAAGCAUCGAGUUUUGUGCUAACCGCUGAGCAAUACAAAAACUGGUAAGCAGCGUCCAUAUUGCUUGUACUUCUCAGGUGGGUUUUUUGGUUGUAGUUUUGCAUGCUGGCAUUGCCCCCACGCUUUCUCCCUUUAGGAGUAAUUGAGUUGGAGGAAAGCAAUUUUUUCAUUUCUCUGCCUUUAAAUAUGUAGUUUGCCCUCAAGAAACUACUCUGUCUUCUUCAUUUACGUUCUCUGAACAAAUUUGGAAAAUUCCUAACAAUGUACCUUCUCUCGAAGUAAAUCGAUCUUUUUUUAACAUAGCCUUUUAAGUAGUAACUGACGCUUGGAUUCAGUGCUUUGUAUGAGUUUUCUUAUCACUAAAACUUUGUUGACAGUAUUUGUUUUCAUUCUGUAUAUUUUAAAAAACAUCAAAGUUGAUUGUUUUGGGGAUACACAGUAAGUAGUAAGUGCUUGUGUGACAAUUCCUACUACAUCUUUUUUUUUUUCCAUAUUCCCCUCAUCAAAACCUGAUUUCUCACAGCUUUUAUUGGAUCACAUUAUAGUCAUCCUGGUUCUCACCCCCUCAUAAGGAGAUGAAACUUGUGGGCCAUAAACAUUCUGUCUUUGGCAUUGGUUCCUGAAAUCUAGAAUAUUUACUUCAUGGGAAGGGCUGCUCAGCAGCUAUCUUGUUGUGGAGUUCGUAGAUUGAUCUGAUCAUCAGACUAGUGAACUAUUUUUUGUUUUUUGGGUUUUUUUGUGUUUGUUUUUACUAUUUGAAGGGGAUAUGGGAUUAGUCAGUCAUUCCAGUCUGAUGGUUUUUUUUUUUCUCUCUCUCUUUAGAAUUGGGAAAACAGAGACCUUUUGUGGGACAAGUAUUUACUGAAUUACAUACAUGAACCAGUGCCUAUCAUAACUGAUUUGCAAGUAAUUUCAAAGCUAAUCUAUAUUGUGUUUCUUUCUUACAGAUGAAGAACAGUUCACAUCUGAUCAGGAUGGCAUUAGUAGGCGUUGGGGAUCUGGAACCUGCUGUGUUUAACUCCAGAUUAACACAGUGCUUAUAGCUACUUCAAGUAGUAAAGGCUCUACUGGGUUAUGCUAUAUCAAAUAGAGAAGCCUACACAGUAGACACCACAAAUCUGAGAAAGAAAAGGAAGGAAAGCCGUAUUAGAAAUAAGGGGAAUGUGUUAUAUACAGGUCUUUAGAAACAUCAAAAAUUAAUUCUUUUACAUAACCUACACAAAUUUGGAAAAUGGACUUGAAUAAUCUAGGGAAAUACAGAUACCCAAAAACUGGCUCAAGAACUAUAAAAUCAUAAAAGAAUAUCUCAAAGAAAUCUGUCCUUGAGAAAUACUACCAGAAUAAAAAGGACAGAAUACUUGCUACAUACUAAGCUAAACAUAACCAUAAUUCAAAUUUUUAAUGAAUUUAAAAUUCAUUACCUAUGAACCAGUAACUAUAUAAAGCCUCCUAAAUAUCUUGCUCAGAUACUAUAGCCAUUGUAAUACUUUGCAGUUAAAGUAAAUGCAUCCAUAAAAGAAUGGCUAGGUUUUACUACAUUUAUAAAAUGGUGCAGAGACAAGAUGGCUCAGCCUGUAAAAAGGGAUUGAGGACCUGAACUGGAUGCCUGAAAGCCCACAUAAUGGUGAGAGCAAGCUGACCUUUGCACACAUGUGCCACAUAUGCACCCAUCCUCAAAUGAGGUACACACACACGAAAUGUAAGGACUUUUUUAUUAAAAGGGUGAAAAAUAUAAAAAAUUGUGGUAGAAGUGCAGUCUACAGGCAUUCAUGUGGUUAUAAUACAUAGGCAAUUGAGGAAAACAGAAAAUGCAUGUACUUAUUAAAAAUUGCUCUUAAAAGAAUUUCAAGUUUGGAAAUAACCUAUACCAAGUUAAUUAUAUUAUUAUAUUGUAGAGCACAAAAAGAGACAUGGAAGGAGGCUUAUAAUUAAAAUUUUUUAGUAUAAAGAUUAUAGAAGCAAAUAAAAACAUGAGCUAUCAUGUAAAGCAGAAGAUAGUUUUGAAAGUAAUGGUCCAUGAUUAAGAAGCUCAGGAAAAGCACAGUGGUUUUGGCAACAUCACUGAUACAGCAAUUCUAAUAAAACAAGAUAAAAAAAUUGGAUUCCAUAGGAUUUCAAGGUAAGUUGACAGUAAAAGCAGAUUCUCAAUUGGAGAAUGAUGAGUUCGUACUGAAGAGGUCAUAUCAACAUUCCAGAGACUAGGAAUUAUUUUCAGAUAGGGAACUAUAACUAAUUAGAAAUGGUGAGUUGUCCACACCUGGUUUGUUUUAUUUUUAAUUGGUUUUUAACUUUUUUUUAAUAUGGAAUUUUUUGGCUUGUGCAUUUGUACCUGGUGCCCUCAAGAGGCCAGAUGAAACAAUUGAAACUCUAGGGUUUAGAGUACAGUUGUGAGUUGCCAUUCUGGUGCUGGGCUUCAAACCAGAGUUCUCAAGAGCCACUAGUGCUCUUAACUGCGGAGCCGUCUCUAACUCCCACCUGUUUUUCUAAAGUGAGAGAAGACAAGCCAAUCUCCCACAAGUCAGAUCUAGGCCUGAUUCUAGAGGGAGUGGGGCCAGCUCAGGGCAAAUUAAGUUUUAACAACCAUUUCUAGUCCUUUGUCCUCUUGUGCUCCAUAAACUUGUUUACUUUCAAAAUAAGAGUCUCACUAUUUUGCCCAAACUCCUAGGCUCAAGUGAUUUCCUAUCUCAGUAGCUAGGACCAUGCCAUUGCACCCUUUUCUGCCCAUGCAUUCCUCAAAGACCGUCCUUUGCAUUGACAUCCUAUGGGUAAUGAUUUACUUCUUUGCUGUAGAACAUAUUACCUCAAGAAAUUGACAGUUUUGAAUUACAGAAAACUACCAUCAUAUGAAUUGAAGGCACCUGUUUUUCCUUAAUUUUACAUUAUGUGAAUAGAGGAGAGAAUCAUACGUUGCCAUGCUCAUGUCAAAGUCAGAGAAUGACUUAGGGAAGUUGUUACACCACGUGGUUCUUUGGUAUUAAACUCAGCUCAUAAAGAUUUUGCAAUCAGUAGCUAUACCUGCUGGAUCAUCUCUCUGACCCACAAAUUGACCCCCUGCCUGCCCAUUUUCUCAUUUUGUAGCCCAAACCCAGGGCCUUAUACACAGAAAAUGUUCUACCACUGUACAGUCUCGAGACACUGAGAUCAGGUCUAUGUAGCCUAGGCCAGCCUUUAACUUGUGAAUUUCCCUGCCUUUGUCUAAGAAGGACUGGGAUUACACCACACCUGGUCAGUUUAUCUCCUCUUUGAAAGCAUAGUUAGAUGCCUCGUUAUAAUUUCCUGAGUAAUUUGUAUUAACCUUUUAAUGUACUUUGACAAAGUAUGCCAGCCACUCAGUGAAAACUUAAGUAGAAUUCUCUUUAAGCCAUUCACAUAAUACAUGUUCCUUCCCAUCAGAAUUUAGUGUGAUCCCUCUGUGUUUUCCACAACAACCAAGUUCAGAAGCUUUACAUUAAAAAAUUACAUUGUAAAAUCAGCCUACAACCCACUUUUAGAAGAUAAAGUAUUUUUAUGUGGCCUCAAGUUUUUCAACUUUUUUUUAAAGGUUUUGUGUGUGAAUGCCUCAUGUAUAUGUACAUCACUUGUUUGCCUGGUGACUGCAGAGGCCAAAAGAACUUGUGAUCCACACAUAUGAAACCAGGUUCUUUGCAAGAAAAUCAAGUGCUCUUAACUGCUAACUAUUUCUUUAGCUCCAAAACUUACAACUUUUGGUUCAGAACAUAUUCUAUCUUAUAAGACUUUAUUGGCCUCUUACAAGGAGAAAAUGAGAAAUAGAAACUUCUCAGUUUGAAACAUAAAUAUCAUUAGUUGUCCUAGAAACAAUACUAUUCUUUGUAGAUUUCAGCAGUAAAGCCUCUAAUAUGCUUCUAUCUUUGACUUAAACCCAUGUCAACUAAGUUUAAUUUCAGUAGUAGCUCUUACGUGUCUUCCUACUUCCUGUCAACACAAUCAGAGUUUUACCUAGCCUAGGUACCCGUAUUAUAUCCAUGUACAAUUUUGCAUUUUGAGACAGGAUCCCACUGGCCUUUACUGGCCUUGAAUUCAUAAGAGAUCCUGCAGGCUCUGCCUCCCAAGUACUGAGAUUAAUGCAUGUCUGGCCCAUGUAUGCCUUAAUUACGAUUUUUGUGACUUAACCUACCAACAUUUUCUUCUCCUUUAGGUAAUUCUCUUUCUUAUCUUCCCACCUACCUGUAUUUUCUUAUCUAAGGACUCUUUCUUUGUCCCCUUCUAAGUAUUUGGUAGUAAUUAUCAGUGGUUUUGCAAGAUAAAGGGUAUGCACCAGGAAAUGUGGCCUACAUUAUUGGAUGGUACAAUUCUUCCAUGGCAGUGUUCAUGUAUACCAUCAGUUGUACUGUCCUGUUAUGCAUUUAUAGUUUGGUGCUGAAUGGAAACUAUUAAUGUUAAGGUUUUGGUUUUUAGUGUAUACAGAAGUUUGGUCUUUCUUCUUGCAUGAAAAUUUACUUUGUGUGUGCCUGAUACCCUUGAAGACAAGAAGGAUCCCCUGGAUCUGUAAAUAGAAAUUGAGGUGUGUUGUGUUGUGAAUCAAACUGGGAUCCUGUGGAAGAACAGCCAGUACUCUUAACUGUUGAGCCAUCUCUCCAACUCUGACUUUUAGAUUAACAUCUGGUAAUCUCUUUAAAAAUUGUUAAUCACUUGUUGAGGAAAAACUUGAUAAAUACAGGACAUUGCUUUCAUUUAAAAUGUCUAGUACUGCCUCAGAAUCAUUAUAAUACAUACUCCUUACUGUGAACAUGAAACUGAUUUAGUCUCUUAAAAAUUACUAAGGCUUAACCAUAUGUAAAUUUUUGAAAUAAGGGCUGUAGAGAGCUCAACAGUUAGAACACAGGCUGCUGUUGCAGAAAAAAAAAAACAAAGUCUGGAUCUCAGUGUCCACACACAACUCACUACUGGCUGUAACUCCAGUUCCACUGGACCUAAUGCCCUUUUCUAGCUUCCUUGAGUACCAGGUUCACCAGUAAUGCACAAACACAUUUAAAACAAAACAAAAAAAAGAACUUUUAAACUGUUUCAAGCCUAACUCUCUAGUGAUAAGCCUAACAAUGUCUAUUUCAUUCUUAGUUAUAGUAUAACACCAUCUCUGUAAAUUAUUCCUUUAAAAUUCUCCAAUACUUUUUGAUAAUGCUUGUUUCAGUGUUAAUAUAUGGCUUAUUUUAUAAAGUAAGACAAAACCAGGUUUCACAUUGUACUUUUGGAGUUGCUAAAUUUUAUUCAUAAACCAGAGUACCCUUUAGUGCUAUAACCAAAGAAAUCACAUGAAGAAAGCCUUCCAACUCUCACCAAAAACAUCACAAGUUUUAAUACUGUAUAUGUACCAUGUCUUUAUCUUCUAUAAACAGAAGAAUAU